GACGAACGCUGGCGGCGUGCCUAAUACAUGCAAGUAGAACGCUGAAGGAGGAGCUUGCUUCUCUGGAUGAGUUGCGAACGGGUGAGUAACGCGUAGGUAACCUGCCUGGUAGCGGGGGAUAACUAUUGGAAACGAUAGCUAAUACCGCAUAAGAGUAGAUGUUGCAUGACAUUUGCUUAAAAGGUGCAAUUGCAUCACUACCAGAUGGACCUGCGUUGUAUUAGCUAGUUGGUGAGGUAACGGCUCACCAAGGCAACGAUACAUAGCCGACCUGAGAGGGUGAUCGGCCACACUGGGACUGAGACACGGCCCAGACUCCUACGGGAGGCAGCAGUAGGGAAUCUUCGGCAAUGGACGGAAGUCUGACCGAGCAACGCCGCGUGAGUGAAGAAGGUUUUCGGAUCGUAAAGCUCUGUUGUAAGAGAAGAACGAGUGUGAGAGUGGAAAGUUCACACUGUGACGUAUCUUACCAGAAAGG
rnacentral:rRNA from 1 species